AGCAAACACGGAUCAGUCCAUAAAGGUGGUAAUCAAAAGAAUAAAAUUAAUUAUCUUCUUGAAGCUUGGUGUAUCCUAACUCAAGUGAAUCACAAAAAAGCAAAUCCAUAGACCAAAGAAUGAUUCUUUUACGAACUACAGAUAAUUAUAGUUUCAACUUUCAACACAUUUUGUUCCCAAGUACAUGGGGCUCUUUCCAUAAGUAUUCCAAGAUUCGUGCUCCCCACAUCCGCUGCAUUGGACGGCCCAGAUUGAAGCCUACGGUCCAGCAGGCUCCAGGCAGUUUUUCCCCUUCCCUUUGCUGGCGGCGAUCCCCAGCCAAGUGCUCCAGAUCCUCCUCUGCGCAAGCAUCCGAGAUUGGGUGCGUCGCCGUCACCCGCACCAGCACCGAUUGGUUCCUCGCCAGCGGCGGCACAGCGACGAUCUCGCUUGGGUGGAGUCGGCGACGGCGACGGCGGCCGGCAGGUUGAUGUGAUAGAAAAGGACUAAAGUUUGGAUCUAAACACAGCCCUUGCUUUGGUGGCUAUACAAACAUUACAGGAAGCCGGGAAGUGUUGAAUUAAGCGUGCUGUAAAAUCAAAGGUGUUUUUGAUUAUUAUUCUGUGAUGAACAAUUGGGCAUUGGACAUUAUUGGUUUUGUAUUUGGAAUUAAUCACGAAGUGGUUUUGGAGAUAAUUGGUUUUCACAGGUGAAUCUGCAGGAUUUAUCA